rnacentral:rRNA from 1 species
AUUGAACGCUGGCGGCAGGCCUAACACAUGCAAGUCGAGCGGAGCGGCGGACGGGUGAGUAAUGCCUAGGAAUCUGCCUGGUAGUGGGGGAUAACGUCCGGAAACGGGCGGUAAUACCUCAUACUAGCAGAUGCGCCUAGGUCGGAGUAGCUAGUUGGUGGGGUAAAGGCCUACCACGGCGACGAUCCGUACCUGGGCUGAGAGGAUGAUUAAUCACACUGGAACUGAGAAGCGGCCCAGACUCCUACGGAAGGCAGCAGUGGGGAGUAUUGGACAAGGGGCGAAAGCCUGAUCAAGCCAUGCCGCGUGUGUGAAGAAGGUCUUAGGUUUGUAAAGCACUUUAAGUUGGGAGGCGUUACCAACAGAAUAAGCACCGGCUAACUUCGUGCCAGCAGCCGCGGUAAUAC